CGCGUACCCGUGCUCGGCAGCCGCAAUCGCGGUCAAUGGCCACGGGUCGAUUCCCAACCGCGCCGCUUUGUCUUUUUUUCCCCCGCACGGCUGCACUUUCCUUUUCUCCGUUCCCCUCCCUCUCUCGCGGCCGCCUCCCCGUUGCUCGUUCCUCCAGGUCGGGGCUAGGGUUUAGCCGGCGGCGCCCCCUCCAGCCCCCUCCUCCCAGGCACACGCAUGUCCGGCGGCUCCCUCGUCGCGCACGCACGCCCAGGCCCAGGACCGGCGCCCGCAGCGGAUCCGCGAGAGGCGCCGGCAGGCGAGGCCCUGAGGCCUUCUCCUCGCCCGCUGCGGGAUCCGAGGCGCCGCCAGCGGAUCCGCGAGAGGCAAGGUCAGCGGAUACCUGGAGGAAGGAGCUGCACCUCGCCGCCGCCGCCGCCGUCGCCUCGGGAUCCAGCGGGGAGGAAAGGGAGCACACCGCGUACCCUUUCCUCGUCGUCAUCCGAUCCACAGGGCGACGGCCUGACGGCGUGGAGCAAGCGACGAGUGCUACGGGGGCGGAUCUGGGGACGCAAGGGCGCAAGGCAGCAGCCGGCAUCGGGCAGUCGGCGGCGGCGGCUCGAGUCGCACGGCGCAGGCACAGUUCAGCGGCCGGGAGGUUGGGAGGCACGGGCAGGCGACGACGGAAGGGCGGCGAGCAUGCGACGGUGAGGCGCUGCAGGGCAGCAACGAGGCGACUUCAAGUUCGUCCUCCCGUGCAACGACGCCAACAACUGAGGAGUCCUCCAAUAUUUUUUUGUAGGAAGGGAGAUCUAUUAUGGAGGAGGCAUUGUGGCAUUGCCUACGAAAACAGCUUGAUAAUAGAGAACUUGUUGCUUCCCAAUAUCUCCUGGCAUGGACAACAUCAAACCAAAGGGGAAAACCAGGCCAUACAAUCUGCUAUACGUUUGGCGGUUCGAAUAUUGUAUUGCCAUGGACCAUACUUCUAAAGCGAUGGUGUGCAGAAGCUCAGUCAUCCAAGUCAGUUUGAGCUUGAAUGGUGUCGCCGUCCUCGGAGAAGCCACUCCCGCCGCAUUGAAGGGCAGCGACACGAUCCUUCACCUUCAGAUGUUAUCUGGCUGAUCCAUUCAAAGGAUACCGUCAAAAUGAUCUCCUUUGUUCUUGCCACUUCAAGCCAGCUGGGUAACACCUACUCUUUCAAGAUGUUUCCUUCCCUUGUUCAUGAAUCUGAGUAAUGCCAAGCUGCAUGUUUACCGAUUUGAUUAUGCUUUAGGCAGAGAAUACAGAUUUAGUAUUCUUAUACACUGGGUCAACUUUAUUUAAGCAUAAGAGAUCAAAAGUAUUGUUCUGUAACCGCUUAGAAUGCAUUAAAAUGUCCUUAUAAUAUGCUUGAAGCCUGGAAUGUAUUUUCAUACCAACUCAAUUAAGAAAUUAGAAUGCAUUAGAAUGUUUUAAGAUUAUAUUGUUAUAAAAUGUCUAUAGGUACAGCAUGCAUUAUAGUGCUCAUCUUGUUCGGUAGAAAACCUUCAGAUUUCUUAGCCUGAAUGAUGUGCAGAUAACACAAUUCUUAUGAAUCACCCUAUGUUGCUGUGGUGAAAAUAAAUCAUUCAGUUUAGUAUACAACAAAAACUGAAUUACUUACCCUUGUGGCAGUUAGUUACUGAGCCAGAGAGUUCCGAGACAUUUGUUGUGCUAUGCCGUCUUACGUUGCAAUAAUGUUGCUAUGGGUUUUUUAUUCAUUAAGAAAACAUUUUUCAUGGUUGUGGAGGUCCUUAGAAAAUUUAAUCUGCGGCAUUAUCAAAAUCAUGCUGUGUAAAGGUUGGAUAUAACAAAAGCUUCUUGGUAUAAGAAUUGAUGUUUGUAACUAUGCUUAUUUGUUCUCUCCUAUCAGUCGCUCGAAAAUCAGGAUUUCAUGUGCUAUAUGGAGAUGGUUCAUGCCCUGCAAUUCUGCAAUCUGCCAUCAUAUUGUUUCCAAAAGCAUAAUGAGAAAACAAUUGGGGUUGUAAACUGAGUAAUUGAAAAUAAAUAAACAUCCCAUCCUCCUUAGAAAACCACUUUCUUUGUGAAGAAUUUUGAAAGGACCAGAAGAAAGCACUUGUCCAUGAGAAUGGGAGGUCACAGCAACCACCAAGCUUAAUAGGUGAGCUAUGUUUGUUUUCUACAUUUUGAAAGGACCAGAAGAAAGCAGUGAGAUGCAUGUUUCAGGCAAUGCGACAACACAUGCUUGUGCCAGUAGUCAUUUCUGCUGCUCCAUGUAAAGUGAUUCAUUUGGCAUAAUAAACUGCAAUGUUCUGAAUGUUUUACAAUAGAAACAGCGAGUCACAUAUUUUAGGAAAUGGUACAGAACUUGCUUAUGUCAGUAGCCAUUUCUGCUGGUCUAUGUGAAGUGAUUAUUGUUAGGGUAUGAUGCAAAUUCAUUUUUUUUCUAAUUCUUUUCUUCAGCCAAGGUUUAUCCAGCUUUAUCUCUUAUAUUUAUUGUGUGGACAGAUCCAUACUACGAGCCAGUCUUCCCCGACAUAGGCCUACACCCAGGCUAUCAGUACUAUAGACAAGGAGCUCGAGUACCUUAAGCAGGCUUUCGAGAUUUUUUGAAGCUUGGCAGUGCAAACCGGAUAAAUGAGAGGUGCUUGGAACUGCAAAAGAACAAGAAGAGCAGCAAAACUAAGUGACGCUGGCCACCAUCGUUGGAGAAGCCGAAGCUAUUGCAAUUUAGUCCAUGUGUAUAUCUGUAAUUUGGAUGAUUCACGUUGUGUCAUGGCAUACUUAUCGAUAACACCCUAUAUAAUUAUAUGGUGUAUAGCACCUUGCCGUAAUGGUGUCUUUGAUCUUUUGUUUGGUCUUUUGCAGUUAUCACUAAUAUAUUAUAAUUUUAAAA